UAUGAAGAACGUAGCGAAAUGCGAUAAGUAAUGUGAAUUGCAGAAUUCAGUGAAUCAUCGAAUCUUUGAACGCACCUUGCGCCCUUUGGCCAUUCCGAAGGGCAUGCCUGUUUGAGUAUCAUGAACACCUCAACUCUUCAUGGUUUUCCGUGAUGAGCUUGGACUUUGGGGGUCUUGCUGGCCUAUGGUCAGCUCCUCUAAAAUAAAUCAGCUUGCCAGUGUUUGGUGGGUAUCACAGGUGUGAUAACUAUCUACGCUUGUGGUUUUCCACCAGGUAACCUUCAGCAGUGGAGGUUCGCUGGAGCUCACAGAUGUGUCUCUCCUCAGUGAGGACAGCUCUUUGAAUGUUUGAUCUCAAAUCAGGUAGGACUACCCGCUGAACUUAAGCAUAUCAAUAAGCGGAGGA
rnacentral:misc_RNA from 1 species